rnacentral:rRNA from 1 species
UAAUCGGAUCAGGGUAAGUCGGGACCUAAGGCUCAGCCGAACGGCGAGGCCGAUGGCAGAAACGGUCAAGAUUCCGUUACUGCCCUAUGGUGUGACGCGGUGACGCGGACGUGACACUGCCGCCGUCUGACGGAAUAGACGGUUUAAGGGUGUAGGAGUAGAUUCCCGCAGGCAAAUCCACGGGAAGAUCCGAACCUGAAAGUACGGAGCGCCCUCCGGGGCAAUCCGAGAGCGCAGGUAAGCAUUCCGCCGAGAAAACCCGCUAAACUUCAGCCGUGGGGCACCCGUACCGCAAACGGACACACGUAGUCGGGUUGAACAUACUAAGGCGCUUGAGUGAAUCACGGUUAAGGAACUAGG